UUUCCAACAGGAAUUAACCUUAUGAAUUUGUUAUAGGUUUUAUCUUGGGUAUUUGUGCUUCAACGGCACCUCCUGCUGGCAGUGGACAUAUUUACAAGUCCUGGGGCUUCUAGGGCUCUUUCCACGACUUUCGCUAGAGAUCAUUUGCACUCCUGCACAUAUGAGUCUAUCUAAUCUUGUCCUUGUACUUUAUGGACUUAAACUCUAUUUAUUUAUUUAUUACAAAUUAUAUGAGGUUAUAUUCCUCUCAUUAGACCUGCAAGGUGCAUGUCUGUUUUUAUUUUUAUUUUUUGUUUUUUGUUGUAAAAUAACUCAUAAAAUAGCUAAUCUUCUCUUUGUUUCUCAUUACUCUGAACCUGGGACUGUAUGGGCAUUCAUCAAUUUCACGCCUUGGUUGGUAAUUCAAGCCUUGAAACCUAACCUCUCAGUUGGAGAUGGUUUUUUUUUAUAUUUGUUAUAUGAAAAAAAACAUUUGUACCUCAGACCUUGAAUCAGUAAAUGUCCUGAAACAGUGAGCAUUAAACUUCACAUUGCUGCCUGGUGAAACUAAUCGACUUGAAUUCCACGCCAAAAGCCCCUGCGGUCAGCGGUGCAGGAGGGAAACCCCAGAGGUGCGCGCACUGCGUCACCAGCAGCAGAACGAGCGUGAUUAUUGAUCCUCGUCACGGACGGAGAAGCGACCGCUUUCUGCUUCGCUGCGCUUAAUGAGCUGACGACCCUGUGGAAUGAAUCUCUCUUCAGACUUAACAUCAAGGAGGCAGCACACAAAAACACAACCCCGGUCAUUAGAUAAAGGGCAAGGGGAGGGAAAAAACAAAACCUCAUUGUCUUUAUUUAUGAACUCAUCGUUUCAAUGUCAAAGUAAUUAGAUUUUUUCCCCCCAAAGCAUUAGAUUAUUUUAUUUUCGUUUGUCAGAUUUUCUGUGAGUGAGAAAUGACAAGAUUUUGCCUUGAAAUGUUAAUGGUGGUUAAUUGGUCACCUUUUACAAAGAUGCAUUAUUUUUCCCAAUGACUGGUCAAUCUGGUUACCAUGGAAAUACCAACACAAAGGGACUACGUGUAAUCAAUAAACCAAGGGUAAUGUGGAAGAAAGAA